UACGGGGGGAGCAAGCGUUGUUCGGAAUUACUGGGCGUAAAGGGCGUGUAGGCGGCUUGGCAAGUCAGGCGUGAAACCCAUCGGCUCAACUGAUGACCUGCGUUUGAAACUGCCUUGCUUGAGUACGGGAGAGGAGAGCGGAAUUCUCGGUGUAGCGGUGAAAUGCGUAGAUAUCGAGAAGAACACCAGUGGCGAAGGCGGCUCUCUGGCCCGAUACUGACGCUGAGGCGCGAAAGCUAGGGGAGCAAACAGGAUUAGAUACCCGCGUA
rnacentral:rRNA from 1 species